AACAAAAAUAUAUAACAAAUAAAAAAUAGAGUCCAUACAAAUUGGGCCAAACUACAAGGCAAAACAAUAUGUAAUCCAGCCCAAAAGAUGAGGAUGGGCCUUACAUACAAAUCAACAUCCAUAAAUAAAUAAAUAGAAAAUCAAAUAAGAAUUUCUUCCUGCAAAAGAGAGAAGAAACGUGCAACACAAGAGCUUCCUAUUUUUCUGCAAGGUGUGGAAAAAACUGCACAGUCAGUGGGAGAGGAUAAGGGAAAGUGGCAGAAAAACAUGGUCUCCAUCUCCCCCACAUAAAAAAACUCUAAACCCUUCCUAAGAUGCCUAUAAAUAGGCCUCAAUUGCAGCAAGAAGGAGAAAAGAAAAAAAUAGGACGAGGUACGCUGCGCAAAUUGAGAUAGAAAUUGAGAGAGGAAAGAAGUAACAAAAAUACUACCAGAAGAGAAGUUGAAGUAAUUCCAUUACCGGUGAUUUUCAAGGAAGAAGAGCAAACUACAAGCAACAAUCAGAAGAAUUUUAUGCCAGCAACCGCCGAUGUUAGACAAAAACCCAAACGAAGGCAGCAGCCACGCCAUAAUUAUUCGCUUCCACUUCGACAAUCGUCUAAAAUGAUGUGGAUGCGACACUGAGCGGCAAGCAGACCAUUGGGACAAAGACGCAGCCAUAGCCAUAGAACAAACAAAAAUGGAAAAGGUUGCAGUUAUCGCUUCAAGAAAGAAGACUCAAAGUAGAAGAAUCAUGUUCUUUGAUGAAUGCCAAGAAGAAAAGGAGUAGCCCAUGUCGCUCCCCGCUGAACCAUCAUUGUCAAAAGUUCCAAUCCACCAUAAUGAGGCAGUUGAAGACCCGGUCUAUGUAGAAAAGCCAUCAGGAAGAAGAUCGUCAAGACGUUGAUCGAGCAAGCCCAAGAGUUCAUGCCUUGUCUAGUAAAAAAGCAACCAAGGAACAACCUCAAAAUUCUGUGCACCAAGUUGUAGAAGUUGUACAAACAAUAAGGCAAUGGUGCAGAAAUGGUGUUUCCAUUUUAAAAGAGAGUAACAAUAAGUUUCAAGUAUGGAGGAAUAAGAUGGCAGAGAAGAAAGACGACAACCAAUCCGUCUCUGUUGUUUGUGUCGCCUCGGUUGACACUAAAACUCUACAAAGGAGCAACCGACCGCCGCCGCCGUUGUCUUGAAGUCAAGAAAAAAAUUGCCUUGCAAGGGAAGGAUGUACUGCCCACAUUGAGCACCAAAAAUGGUGCGGGCUGCAAUCUAAGUUUGCUAGGGAAGAUUGUCCCACAUGGAGAUUAAAUAUGCAAGAAGAAAAUCAAUGACUCUUUCAUUUGUUUUAUUCAUAUAGGAGUCUAUCAAGUUUGGCUCUGAGAACGAGAAGUAUGGAGACCAUGUCCUCAGAAACCUGUCCUUCUUUAAAUCACCAAAUAUGUGUAAACUUGUUGGCAAAAAGUUAAACACGACUUCAAAGAAUUUGGCACGUUGUCGCUGCUCCAUUCUUCGAAGGAUGUUCCAGGAAAAAGAGGAAGAAAGAAACAGUUUUGUCCAUCACGUGGGUGUUGCAGCAAGCAUUAGGUGGUAAAGCAACAAAGAAAGUGAUGUCCUCUUACAAUUGGAAAAGUCCUAGCAAAAGCAUACUUAAAAUAAUGAAGCUAUUGAACCUACAAAGAAACAAGACAAAAACCUCUGUGUUACUACUUCUAUGUCUUUUGUCCAAGAAAUAAUAAGGAUGGAAAGAAGCAUCACAUGGAUAAAAGCAACGGUGAAAAGAGAAAGGGAACAGAUGCCAACAUUUUUUUUUUUUUUUUUUUUCCUCUGAAGUUCUACUCCAAUUUUGAGUGCAUUGUGCAAGGAAGGAAGCUACAGUGAAAAAAAUAAAAGCACACCUUCAUGCCACUCACGUGAGCAUUAAGAGCAUGGCCUCCAUCAAAAUUAAAAUUAUCCAUGAAGGCUGAGAUGCACGGCACCAAGACAAAGUUAAAUACCAAAGUAUUAGUAGGUUCAUCACAAA